rnacentral:ncRNA from 1 species
CAUUCCCAGCCGGGAGAAGCGGUCCGCCGCUGCCGAAGGAGCAACCGCCCCGGAAACUCUCAGGCCUCAGGACCGGCACGGGGAA